AUUGAACGCUGGCGGCAGGCCUAACACAUGCAAGUCGAACGAGUGGCGGACGGGUGAGUAAUGUGUGGGAAACUGCCUGAUGGAGGGGGAUAACUACUGGAAACGGUAGCUAAUACCGCAUACUAUCAGAUGUGCCCAGAUGGGAUUAGCGUGUUGGUGGGGUAACGGCUCACCAAGGCGACGAUCCCUAGCUGGUCUGAGGGUAUGACCAGCCACACUGGAACUGAGACACGGUCCAGACUCCUACGGGAGGCAGCAGUGGGGAUUAUUGCACAAGGGGGGAAAGCCUGAGGCAGCCAUGCCGCUGAUAUGAAGAAGGCCUUCGGGUUGUAAAGUACUUUCAGCGGGGAGGCGUUACCCGCAGAAGAAGCACCGGCUAACUCCGUGCCAGCAGCCGCGGUAAUAC
rnacentral:rRNA from 1 species